rnacentral:rRNA from 1 species
AAUAGAUACCCAGGUAGUCCACGCCGUAAACGAUGGAUGCUAGCUGUUAUGCGUAUCGACCCGUGUAGUAGCGAAGCUAACGCGUUAAGCAUCCCGCCUGGGGAGUACGAACGCAAGUUUAAAACUCAAAGGAAUUGACGGGGACCCGCACAAGCGGUGGAGCGUGUUCUUUAAUUCGAGGCUAAGCGAAGAACCUUACCAGGGCUUGACAUCCUUGGAAUUUCUCCGAAAGGAGAGAGUACUUUAUUGGACCAAGUGACAGGUGCUGCAUGGCCGUCGUCAGCUCGUGUCGUGAGAUGUUUGGUUAAGUCCAUUAACGAGCGCAACCCUUAUGAAUAGUUGUAUUUUUCUAUUCAGACUGCCCCGGUAACGGGGAGGAAGGGGGGGAUGAUGUCAGGUCAGUAUUGCCCUUACGCCCUGGGCUAGAAACGCGCUACAAUGGCCGGUACAAUGCGCUGCCAACCCGCGAGGGGGAGCAAAUCGCAUCAAAGCCGGUCCCAGUUCGGAUAAGAGGCUGAAACUCGCCUCUUUGAAGCCGGAAUCGCUAGU